UUAAAAGGCCGCGGUAUUUUGACCGUGCUAAGGUAGCAUAAUCAUUAGUUUUUUAAUUGAAAGCUGGAAUGAAGGGUUGGAUGAAAAAAUAACUGUCUCUAAUUUAUUUUAGUAUAAUUUUAUUUUUAAGUUAAAAAGCUUAAAUUUGUUUAAAAGACGAGAAGACCCCAUAGAGUUUAAUAAUUUUAAGAUUUUAGAAUUUGGAAUUUAAAUUAUAGAAUUAAUUAAUUAUUUAAUUGGGGUGAUUAAAAAAUAUAAUAAACUUUUUUUUUAUUAUAAUAUUUAUUUAUAAAUUAUUGAUCCAAUAGUUUUGAUUAUAAGAUUAAAUUACCUUGGGGAUAACAGCGUAAUUUUAUUUGAGAGUU
rnacentral:rRNA from 1 species